rnacentral:rRNA from 1 species
UUACACUGCACGAACGUGCGAUAAGGGGACUCCGAGUGCGACGGCAUACAGUCCUCGCUAUUGUGUACCGUAGGGUGGUACACGACCAAGAGCUGGGCAAGACCGGUGCCAGCCGCCGCGGUAAUACCGGCAGCUCGAGUGAUGGCCGAUUUUAUUGGGCCUAAAGCGUCCGUAGCUGGCCCUGCAAGUCCGUCGGGAAAUCCACUCGCCUAACGAGUGGGCGUCCGGCGGAAACUACAGGGCUUGGGACCGGAAGACUUGAGGGGUACGUCUGGGGUAGGAGUGAAAUCCUGUAAUCCUGGACGGACCGCCGAUAGCGAAAGCACCUCAAGACGACGGAUCCGACAGUGAGGGACGAAAGCUAGGGUCUCGAACCGGAUUAGAUACCCGGGUAGUCCUAGCCGUAAACACUGCCUGCUAGGUGUGGCACCCACUACGAGUGGGUGCUGUGCCGUAGG